AAUAUCUCAACCUAUUUCUCUUUCAUAUAUAAACCUAAACCCUAAUUUCCUCUCCCUCUUUUCCCAUUCCUCUUUCCUUUCUUCUGAGUUCAGAUCUUGCAGCUCACUACCUCUUUAAAUUCUCACCCUUUUCUCACCACCUCCGUCACCACCUCCCUUACCACCUCUCCUCACCACCUUGCACGAACACAUCCGUUGCGUCAGACCUUGCCGCUCCCUUGUGCGUGCUCCCUCACCAACACCUACGACAAUCAAAGGUUUGAGGAGUUGAAGCUGCCAUGUCGUUGAAGGUCUUGAAGUUUCUGCCAUAAUGAUGAACCUGUUGUAAUGUUGUUGAAGUUGCCAUGUUGAAUUUAUUAGUUGAAUGAGGACUUUUAAUGCAUUUUUAAGACUUUUGUUAUGCCUGGAAUUUUAUUCUAAUGGCUAGACUAUUUUUUUUUA